rnacentral:rRNA from 1 species
CCCUUAGAUGUUCUGGGCCGCACGCGCGCUACACUGACGAUGGCAACGAGUUUUUCCUUCGCCGAAAGGUGUGGGUAAUCUUUUGAAACAUCGUCGUGCUGGGGAUAGAUCAUUGCAAUUUUUGAUCUUGAACGAGGAAUUCCUAGUAAGCGCGAGUCAUCAGCUCGCGUUGAUUACGUCCCUGCCCUUUGUACACACCGCCCGUCGUUACUACCGAUUGAAUGGUUUAGUGAGGACUCCUGAUUGGCGCCGCCGCCCCGGCAACGGAGCAGCGGACUGCCGAAAAGUUGUUCAAACUUGAUCAUUUAGAGGAAGUAAAAGGCGUAACA